rnacentral:rRNA from 1 species
GACGAACGCUGGCGGCGUGCUUAACACAUGCAAGUCGAACGGUAAGGCCCUUCGGGGUACACGAGUGGCGAACGGGUGAGUAACACGUGGGUGAUCUGCCCUGCACUUCGGGAUAAGCCUGGGAAACUGGGUCUAAUACCGGAUAGGACUCCGGACUGCAUGGUCUGGGGUGGAAAGCUUUUGCGGUGUGGGAUGGGCCCGCGGCCUAUCAGCUUGUUGGUGGGGUAAUGGCCUACCGAGGCGACGACGGGUAGCCGUCCUGAGAGGGUGACCGGUCACACUUGGACUGUGAUACGGCGUGGACGCGGACGGGAGGCAGCAGUGGGGAAUAUUGUACAAUGGGCGCAAGCCUGAUGCAGCGACGCGGCGUGAGGGAUGAUGGCCUUCGGGUUGUAAACCUCUUUCAGCUAUGACGAAGCGCAAGUGACGGUAGUAGCAGAAGAAGGACCGGCCAACUACGUGCCAGCAGCCGCUGUAA